UAAUAAAAGUGUUUUAUGGCACUUUUCAAACAAAUCCAUAUCCACCUUGUGUGCAAUGUUUUUUUUUUUAAAUAAACACUUUUUUUUAAUCGCCAAUUUUUCUGAAAAUCAGUAUUAUUAUGAAUUGACUUAAUUCAAAAUA
rnacentral:misc_RNA from 1 species